UACGUAGGGGGCAAGCGUUAUCCGGAUUUACUGGGUGUAAAGGGAGCGUAGACGGCAGUGCAAGUCUGGAGUGAAAGGCGGGGGCUCAACCCCCGGACUGCUCUGGAAACUGUACGGCUGGAGUGCAGGAGAGGUAAGUGGAAUUCCUAGUGUAGCGGUGAAAUGCGUAGAUAUUAGGAGGAACACCAGUGGCGAAGGCGGCUUACUGGACUGUAACUGACAUUGAGGCUCGAAAGCGUGGGGAGCAAACAGG
rnacentral:rRNA from 1 species